UUCUGCCUUCUGUAGUGGGAUGAUGCAGCAAGAAGACCCUUACCAGAUGCAGGCCCCUCAACCUUCGACUUCCUAACAUCCAGAACUAGCCACCUAAGCUGAAGAUUCCCUUGAGAACAAGUACUGUCCUGCGGUUUCAUGGCCUUUCUUCCAUUUGUGGUUCUUGCGAAGUGGAAUUUAAAUGACAUCUUAUCAAGAUCGAUAAAUACUAGUUUCCCAGUGCUGGAAUAUAGAAAAUGGAUGGACAAGUAAAUCCCACUCAGCACCCAUAGUCCAGGCAUGGGGACCUCAACACACCUGAGCCCCAAACAUCACCUUUCAUUCUGGACCUACCAUGAAAGACUUCUGAAUCCAGGAAGAGAAACUGACUGGGCAACAUGUUAUUCAGAAACAGGACCUUGCCCUGUCACUCAGGAUGGAGUUCAAUGGUCCUAUCAUGGCUCAUUAUAGCCUUAAACUCCCAGGCUCAAGCAAUCCUACCAUGUCAGCCUUCCCAGUAGCUGGGACUACAGGAAGUGACCUCACAAUGACUCAAGCUACCACAUACUGUUGAUUGUGAAAUGCCAGUUGAAGCAUAUGUCCUGCGAGCUUAGGGGUGCUACAAGUUGACCACUGCAGCAGUAAAGAUGACUCUGAAGAAUGGCAUGGGAUGGAUCCUUUCGAAUGCACUUGAGCAGCGGUCUCCAACCACAGGGCCACAGAGCUGGAGCUGGAUCUACCAUGAAAGACUUCUGAAUCCAGGAAGAGAGACUGACUGGGCAACAUGUUAUUCAGGGUCUCCCUCUGUUGUCCAAGGCUGGAGUGUAGUAGUGCUA
rnacentral:lncRNA from 1 species